rnacentral:rRNA from 1 species
GUGAGGAAUAUUGGUCAAUGGGCGGGAGCCUGAACCAGCCAAGUCGCGUGAGGGAAGACGGUCCUAUGGAUUGUAAACCUCUUUUGUCGGGGAGCAAAGAGGCCACGUGUGGUCAAAAGCGAGAGUACCCGAAGAAAAAGCAUCGGCUAACUCCGUGCCAGCAGCCGCGGUAAUACGGAGGAUGCGAGCGUUAUCCGGAUUUAUUGGGUUUAAAGGGUGCGUAGGCGGGACGUUAAGUCAGCGGUAAAAAUGCGGAGCUCAACUCCGUCGAGCCGUUGAAACUGCCGUUCUUGAGUGAGCGAGAAGUAUGCGGAAUGCGUGGUGUAGCGGUGAAAUGCAUAGAUAUCACGCAGAACUCCGAUUGCGAAGGCAGCAUACCGGCGCUCAACUGACGCUGAAGCACGAAGGCGUGGGUAUCGAACAGG